CGCGGCCUAUCAGCUUGUUGGUGGGUAAUGGCCUACCAAGGCGACGACGGGUAGCCGACCUGAGAGGGUGACCGGCCACACUGGGACUGAGACACGGCCCAGACUCCUACGGGAGGCAGCAGUGGGGAAUAUUGCACAAUGGGCGAAAGCCUGAUGCAGCGACGCCGCGUGAGGGAUGACGGCCUUCGGGUUGUAAACCUCUUUCAGCAGGGAACGAAGCGCAAGUGACGGUACCUGCAGAAAAGCACCGGCUAACUACGUGCCAGCAGCCGCGGUAAUACGUAGGGUGCAAGCGUUGUCCGGAAUUACUGGGCGUAAAGAGUUCGUAGGCGGUUUUCCGUCGUUUGUGAAAACCAGCAGCUCAACUGCUGGCUUGCAGGCGAUACGGGCAGACUUGAGUACUGCAGGGGAGACUGGAAUUCCUGGUGUAGCGGUGAAAUGCGCAGAUAUCAGGAGGAACACCGGUGGCGAAGGCGGGUCUCUGGGCAGUAACUGACGCUGAGGAACGAAAGCGUGGGUAGCGAACAGGAUUAGAUACCCUGGUAGUCCACGCCGUAAACGGUGGGCGCUAGGUGUGGGUUCCUUCCACGGAAUCCGAGCUAACGCAUUAAGCGCCCCGCCU
rnacentral:rRNA from 1 species